rfam:Dipodomys ordii contig_3181, whole genome shotgun sequence.
GUGCAUGUGGCUUAGUGGUAGAGUGCUUGCCUAGCAUGUAUGAAGUCCUAGGUUCAAUUCCUCAGUACACAUA